rnacentral:lncRNA from 1 species
CCCAAGGAUGUGACAUUCGAGGGGGGCUCCGGCUGAGCCUCUGGAGCCCAGCGCGGCUCGCGCUCUUGGCUGCCACCUAUCGGCCGCCGCGUGCCUGCUUCGCCCCGGGCCCAUCAUGUCUGCGGCAGCGUGGCUCGCACCAGCAGCGCGACAAUAAACAAGUGCACCGGACUGGCCCAGCGCCGGCCACGGAGCAGAGGUCUCAGAGACCCGGACGAUGCUUUUCGUGCUGCCACCUCCUCAUCGCCCAGGAGAGAAGACGCGACUUUCUCUGAGUUUUUUUGAGCCUCCGGGCUGCCAGGACGCGCCACAGGCGUAGAGCAGCGCUACUCCAGCCCCUCAGACCCCCGAAGGAGGUCGGAGAUACAGAGCUCCGAAUAAUGACGAUCGAGCGCCGCAUCUGGGGAAGGGAGAGAGGAACAAACCCUGCAGACGCCGAGAGCGACGAAACGGCCAAGAGGAUGCGGGAACCGUGCAAAUACUAAUUAGGGGCCGCGGUGGCGGCGGGCUAGGCUGGGGACAGCGGCGGCGGGAGCCCAGCGCGGUGGUCGCCGCGCGGGAGGCGGAGGACCGCGUAGGAGUCGCAGCCUCCGCCGCCGCCGCUGGAGGAGCCCAGGGGCCAGUGCCACCUUCUCUCGCCCCCACACUACCAUGUACAGUGUGCGCUGCAAGAAGAAGCCCUGCGAUGCGUGCUCAGCCUCGCGCCCCGCUCCCUCCGGCAGCUCCCCGGGCGCUCGCCGCUGAGCUGGGGGCAAUGUGGUGAAGACUGAGCGGAGCCCAGAGCGGGGGAGGGGCGCGCAGGCCAGCGCGAACCCAGGCCGGAGGGUGCCGGGCGCCCGAACAGGCUGGAGGGGGCGGCGGCCACCGCGGGGUCGGUGAAAGUUGCCCCCUCUGCAGAUGGGAACUGGUGACUAGGAUGAGUGGGCCGAAGAUGUGAGACGGGGGGGUGUUUGAAGCCGGGAGUCUUCGACCGUGGUGAUGGGAGGUCGGGAGAUACUAGCAAGGUUUAUGCACUGUGUUCCGAUUCGUCUCGACACGUCUGGGUGGCCAAACGUGAACGACUCGCAGGCACACUUGCACAUGUGCGUGUGAAUGCAGGCGCUUUUUAUACCGCGGGCUGGAGUCCACUUGGAUCGAGAGCAAGGUCUCCAGGCUAGAACCUGUGUCUGAGAAACGUCCUAGCUUUAGUUCUGGGUUGCGGUUUGACACCCGACUUUGCUGGUGAGGGAAAACCAAGGCUGACUGGAGAAAAAGCAUUGGUUCCCAGAGCCCAGCAUUUAUCACCUCUCCCUUCCUGCUGCCCCGCUAACCAAGGCAACAAGCACUCACACACUCGCUCCC